rnacentral:lncRNA from 1 species
GUUCUGGUUCUGGUUCUGGUUCUGGUUUUGUUUUUGUUUCUACUUCUACUUCUAUUUCUGGUUCUGGUUUUGUUUCUACUUCUAUUUCUGUUUUUGUUUCUGUUUCUGCUUCUGGUUCUGCUUCUGGUUCUGCUUCUGGUUCUGCUUCUGGUUCUGCUUCUGGUUCUGCUUCUGGUUCUGCUUCUGGUUCUACUUCUAUUUCUGUUUUUGUUUCUNCUUCUGGUUCUGGUUCUGGUUCUGGUUCUGGUUCUGGUUCUGCUUCUGCUUCUGCUUCUGGUUCUACUUUUACCUCUGCUUCUGGUUCUACUUUUGGUUCUAUUUCUACUUCUGUCAGCCCUUUAUGUGUUAUACCUUUUGAGAGGAGUCCAUCUUUCUUAUCAUCUCCCACAACUACACCAGUGUACAUGUCAGUCGAAAACAACAUGUCUACUUCAUUUUUUCGUAUUAGUUCGCAUGAUGAUACAUUUUUGUUCUGAUUUGUCAUUAUAUGCAUUGACACAUUUAUCUUCGGUAUUACUAUGUUGCUUUUUAUGUUUAAAAAAACCAAUCAAUUGUGAUUUCUUACUUUCACUUUUAUUUGUAUUAUAA